AAUCUUCCACAAUGGACGAAAGUCUGAUGGAGCAACGCCGCGUGAGUGAAGAAGGUUCUCGGAUAGUAAAGCCCUUUUGUAAGGGAAGAACAAGUCCAGGAGUAAAUGUAUGUACCUUGACGGUACCUUCCCAGAAAGCCACGGCUAACUACAUGCAAGCAGCCGCGGGAAUACGUAGGUGGCAAGCGUUGUACGGAAGUAUUGGGCGUAAAGCGCGCGCAGGCGGUCCUUUAAGUCUGAUGUGAAAGCCCACGGCUCAACCGUGGAGGGUCAUUGGAAACUGGAGGACUUGAGUACAGAAGAGGAAAGCGGAAUUCCACGUGUAGCGGUGAAAUGCGUAGAGAUGUGGAGGAACACCAGUGGCGAAGGCGGCUUUCUGGUCUGUAACUGACGCUGAGGCGCGAAAGCGUGGGGAGCAAACA
rnacentral:rRNA from 1 species